rnacentral:rRNA from 1 species
GACAGAGGCCACAAGCGUUAGGCGGAAUCACUGGGCUUAAAGCGUGUGUAGGCGGAUCGUUAAGUGCCUUGUGAAAUCCCCCGGCUUAACCGGGAGAACGGCUGGGCAUACUGGCGAUCUUGAGCCACUCAGGGGCAGCUGGAACAGACGGUGGAGCGGUGAAAUGCGUAGAUAUCGUCUGGAACGCCAAAGGUGAAAACAGGCUGCUGGGGGUGUGCUGACGCUGAGACACGAAAGCCAGGGGAGCAAACGGG